rnacentral:lncRNA from 1 species
CCUUGCUCAUUGAGCAGGGUUUCCAGACUCGGAAGCUGGAAGCCAUUCUGUCCUCCACUUCCAGGCUAGAGCCAGAGGGGGGACACGCGGCUGGAGUCCCACAGCCACCAUCCCACCCGUGCAUUCCAGGGGCCCUCAACGGAACAGGCCUCCUUGGCAGCCAAAGUGACCCGCUGCCUUCCAGCUUCACCCCGGUCUUCUUCUCCCAACUGUCGGCAAACCAUACCCUGGUCUCCAGAUGUGACGGGGUCAGACAGUGCAUCUACGACACGAUGGCCACUGGAGACAUCCGCACAGGCCUCCACACCAGGAGCCUCUUCACAGCGUACCAGCGGAUGAACGCCACCCUCAAUCAGUUCCCGCCCUCCAUUAGUGGCUGCCAUGUGAUCAGAGCCUACAAGGACCAUACGUCAAGAUUUCAGUGCACCAGCAACUCUGCGAAUGUCACCUUCAUGCUCCAAGGGAACCACAGCUCCUUCCAGCUCUUUGAGAACGGGAUUUUGCAAUGGACACCAAAGUCGCCAGAGCCAGUCACCCUGGAGAUUCUAGCUCGAGACGCCCAGACCGGUUUGUCAUCUGUCCUCCAGCCCAAGAUGGUGGCCUGCUUUUGCAAUGCAACCAGUCAGUGUCUGUACAACCAGACCCGUCGUGUGGGCCAUUCAUCCAUGGAGGAGGCCAGCUGCCAGUGCAACAAGGACACCUUUGGCCGCCACUGUGAGCAUUUCAAGAACCUCUGUGAUGAGCAGUGCUUCCCAAAUGUGCAGUGUACCCCUGGGAAGGGCUGCGGGGCCUGCCCCCAGGACAUGACUGGGGACGGCAGGCAUUGUGCAGCCCUCCUCUGUCAGAAUGAGUCCUGCCCCAUGGAUUACUGCUACAACCACGGCCACUGCUACUUGUCCUUGACUCAGGGCUGCCAGCCCACUUGUACCUGUGCCCCAGCCUUCACAGACGCCCGCUGCUUCCUGGCAGGGAACACUUUUGUUCCCUCCAUCCUUGGAGAGCUUCCCAUGAGGUCCAUCCUGCUGUCACUCUGUGAGGAGGAAAAUGCCACGAAGGAAGAUGUGAAUGCCUCGGUGGCAUACAAGCUGCAGCACCUGAACAUACGGGCAUUUCUCCGGAACAGCCACGUGGAACGCAGCCACUCCACAGCACUGCCCUCGGGACGCUCCGUACAGCACUGGAUGGUGGUCUCGGAGUUCCAGUACCGUCCCAGUGGCCCUGUCAUCUACUUCCUAAAUGAGCAGCUCCUGGACGCCGUGGUCAGCGCCUUCCUGCCCCAGGCACGGAGUGCGAGGUGGAGGAGGAGCGCAGAGGCCCGUAACAACGUGACCUUCCAGCCCAUCAGCAGGGAAGAUGUGUUGGACAACCAGGCUCCACGUGAGUCACUCAAUCUUGUGCAAGGGGGAGGGAGAGACACGUAAGUGGGGGAAGCCUGUGACAGAUCGCUGACCCACACAGCCCAUGGUGGACAAGGGUUCCGAGGGUUUGAAGUCAUUAUUUCACCCAGGAACUGCUGAUGAUUUCAUAAUUUUCUUAAAGUGUCACUGUACUAGACACACACAAUGACAUCCCUUCCACCACUGCCCCUUGGCUGCAGGGUGUCCACACGGACAGUGGGGAGUGUUCAGGGCCAGAGAUGCCCUCCUGGAAGGGCACACACAGCCCCCAAGCCAGGCCUCAACACCCAGUCUGGACUGACCUGGGUUUCCAAGGCCCCUUUCAGCUCUAACAGCCCUUGGUUACCCAGGAAUGGGGAGAGAGAGAGAGAGAGGAGGGAACAGUUCGCACCGCUGCCAUCACUUCCAGGCACGGGGCGGAGAAUGUGUGGGACAGACACCAUUCC